rnacentral:rRNA from 1 species
ACUCCUACGGGAGGCAGCAGUAGGGAAUCUUCCACAAUGGGCGCAAGCCUGAUGGAGCAACACCGCGUGAGUGAAGAAGGGUUUCGGCUCGUAAAGCUCUGUUGUUAAAGAAGAACACGUAUGAGAGUAACUGUUCAUACGUUGACGGUAUUUAACCAGAAAGUCACGGCUAACUACGUGCCAGCAGCCGCGGUAAUACGUAGGUGGCAAGCGUUAUCCGGAUUUAUUGGGCGUAAAGAGAGUGCAGGCGGUUUUCUAAGUCUGAUGUGAAAGCCUUCGGCUUAACCGGAGAAGUGCAUCGGAAACUGGAUAACUUGAGUGCAGAAGAGGGUAGUGGAACUCCAUGUGUAGCGGUGGAAUGCGUAGAUAUAUGGAAGAACACCAGUGGCGAAGGCGGCUACCUGGUCUGCAACUGACGCUGAGACUCGAAAGCAUGGGUAGCGAACAGGAUUAGAUACCCCUGGUAGGAAAGCG